ACUGGCAGCGUGGAUUAGGCAUGCAAGUCGAACGGGAUCGCCGAGUUAGCAAUAAGUGAGGCGUGAGAGUGGCGGAUUGGCGAGUAACACGUGAGCAACCUGCCCUGAGGUUGGGGAAAACCGCUGGAAACGGCGGCUAAUAUCCGAUGGAGCGCCCAUGGACAUGAGUGGAGCGCGAAAGGGGGCCCGCAAGGGCUCCCGCCACGGGAUGGGCUCGCGCAUCAUCAGCUUGUUGGCGGGGUAACGGCCCACCAAGGCGUACGAUUAGCUGGUCUGAGAGGAUGACCAGCCGCACUGGGACUGAGAUACUGCCCAGACUCCUACGGGAGGCUGCAGUCGAGGAUCAUUCGCAAUGGGGGAAACCCUGACGAUGCGACGCUGCGUGGAGGAAUGAAGGCCUUCGGGUUGUAAACUCCUGUCAUGAGGGAAAAGGCGAGGGGACCCAACACGUCUCUUAGUUGAUGGUACCUCAAGAGGAAGGGACGGCUAACUCUGUGCCAGCAGCAGC
rnacentral:rRNA from 1 species